ensembl:miRNA
ACUGGCUCAGUUCAGCAGGAACCGGAGU